AGACGAACCGUCCAAACGUUAUUCGGAAUCACUGGGCUUAAAGGGUGCGUAGGCGGCCGUACAAGUCGGGUGUGAAAUCCCUCGGCUCAACCGAGGAAUUGCGCCCGAAACUGUGCGGCUCGAGGAAGACAGAGGUGAGCGGAACUGGCGGUGGAGCGGUGAAAUGCGUUGAUAUCGCCAGGAACACCAGUGGCGAAGGCGGCUCACUGGGUCUUUUCUGACGCUGAGGCACGAAAGCUAGGGGAGCGAACGGGAUUAGAAACCCCAGUAGUCC
rnacentral:rRNA from 1 species